rnacentral:rRNA from 1 species
AGGGAAUCUUCCACAAUGGACGCAAGUCUGAUGGAGCAACGCCGCGUGAGUGAAGAAGGCUUUCGGGUCGUAAAACUCUGUUAUUGAAGAAGAACGUGUGUGACAGUAACUGGUCAUGCAGUGACGGUAUUCAAUCAGAAAGUCACGGCUAACUACGUGCCAGCAGCCGCGGUAAUACGUAGGUGGCAAGCGUUGUCCGGAUUUAUUGGGCGUAAAGCGAGUGCAGGCGGUCUUUUAAGUCUGAUGUGAAAGCCUUCGGCUUAACCGAAGAAGGACAUCGGAAACUGGGAGACUUGAGUGCAGAAGAGGAGAGUGGAACUCCAUGUGUAGCGGUGAAAUGCGUAGAUAUAUGGAAGAACACCAGUGGCGAAGGCGGCUCUCUGGUCUGUAACUGACGCUGAGGCUCGAAAGCGUGGGUAGCAAACAGGAUUAGAUACCCUGGUAGUCC